UAGAAGCAGACAGGCUGUUUUAGAAAGGGGAAGGUUAGUGCAUAAGAAAUCAAGUACUCUCUGCAGAAAUAGAGGAGAGAAUACAACCUCUUUCUCCACUAAUUUUACAAAGGGAGAUUGCAUCUGUUUCUUACUUCCCUUCCUUGAAGAGGGCUGACAGCUUUGGAGACUUUUAGAAGGUUUGAACCCAAGUAGAGUAAAUAAAGCAAAAAUAUAUGGAAAAAAAUUAGGAAGAAUUGAUCUUUUUGAGAGACUUGAGUGGAAGUACCCAACAGAUAUAAAUCCUCACUGUCACAGUGUAUAAUAGCACUGUCUGAAAAGAGAUCACUACCUGAGUUUUAAUUAGAAAGCAAAUCUAGUAUAGGAACUGUAACGCCAAGGUUUUAAUGGCAAAAAAAAGAGGCAUUAGCUUCAUCUCCCUCUAGAUAUUAGGGUCUUAUUUCCCCUUUAAUUCUUGAAAUCCUAUGUGAACUUUUCCACUUAUAAGUUUAUUCCAAUAAUUGGCACAGAGCUAUUAUGCUGGUGGAUAGGGCAGAUAGUUGACUCACCCUAUCUGGUCCAGUUCUGCCUCAACGCUGGGGAUUCUAGCCUGCAAAAGAAAGAACCCAAGGUUUGCUCUGUCAUCUGAGGCCUUGGGGAAGAAGUCUAGCUUCAUGUCACUUUUGUCCUUAGAAGCUAGGGUUCCGUAUGAGGACUUUCCAGGGGUUUGGAAUAACCUAUUGAGGUCAUCAUCAUCAAUAGCAGUAUUUAUUGAGCACUAAUAAGUAUGCAGAGCAGUAUGCUAAGUGCUUGGGAGAGUGCAAUACAACAGAAUUGGUAGUCACAUUUCUUGCCCACAAGGAGCUUACAGUCUAGACGGGGAGACAGAUACUAAUGUAAGUAAAGAAGGUCUGCUUGUAUUUCUAGACUCACUGCAAUUGACCUGAAUUAUUUGAGAAGCCGAGGACUCACCCACCCUCCCCGGGAUACUCUGACUGAGAAGAUUCAGGACCGGUCCAGACUCAUUAGAGCUGUGCCAAAAAGAGUGGAUUCCUUUGAGCCUCUUCCAUCUGGUGGAGUGGGCCCAAAUCCUCAGGGCACAAAAAGGACUCAAGGAAAUAGAAAACUCUAACAAAAAGAUUAACAAUAGAGGAGGUAUGGUCUCUCACUGAGU
rnacentral:lncRNA from 1 species